AAAAAGAACCUGAAACCGUGUACGUACAAGCAGUGGGAGCACAGGUUUACCUGUGUGACUGCGUACCUUUUGUAUAAUGGGUCAGCGACUUAUAUUCUGUAGCAAGGUUAACCGAAUAGGGGAGCCGUAGGGAAACCGAGUCUUAACCGGGCGUUAAGUUGCAGGGUAUAGACCCGAAACCCGGUGAUCUAGCCAUGGGCAGGUU
rnacentral:rRNA from 1 species